rnacentral:lncRNA from 1 species
AGACCAGCCUGGCCAACAUGGUGAAACCCUGUCUCUACCAAAAAUACAAAAAAAACAAUGUACCGGGCAUGGUGGCACGCAUCUGUAAUCCCAGCUACUCGGGAGGCUGAGGCACGAGAAUCGCUUGAACUCAGGAGGUGGAGGUUGCAAUGAGCCAAGAUCCCACCACUGCCCUCCAGCCUGGACUAUAGAACUGAAACACUGCUCUUUCCGGGUUUCGAGCCUGCUGGCCUUAGGACUGGAACUAACACCAUCAGUUCUCUGGGGUCUCCAGUUUGCUGCCUCGCCCUGCAGAUGACAGCACUUGUUAGCCUCCAUAAUUGCGUGAAAUCUCUUUCUCUGUUUAGACAUUGGUUCUGUUUCUCUGGAAAACCCCAGUCAAUACAGGCGGUGAUCAUAUUUUGAGGAUUAAAUGAUACAAUGAAUAGAAUAUGCUUAACACACAGUGAGUGCUUGGCACAUAUGAUCUCCUCAAUACACAUCAGCUUUAUCAUGGAAAUUAUUAUGUAUCAUUAUACAAAAUAUAAUAAGAUUUCAAACUUGUGU